GCACUUGGUCAAGUGGCAAGACACUGGAAGCCUCAGAACCUACAAAGGCGGGGGUUCGACCCCCACCAUGUGCG